rnacentral:rRNA from 1 species
UGGGGAAUUUUGGACAAUGGGCGCAAGCCUGAUCCAGCCAUGUCGCGUGCGGGAAGAAGGCCUUCGGGUUGUAAACCGCUUUUGUCAGGGAAGAAAUCUUCUGAGUUAAUACCUCGGGAGGAUGACGGUACCUGAAGAAUAAGCACCGGCUAACUACGUGCCAGCAGCCGCGGUAAUACGUAGGGUGCAAGCGUUAAUCGGAAUUACUGGGCGUAAAGCGUGCGCAGGCGGUUUUGUAAGACAGAGGUGAAAUCCCCGGGCUCAACCUGGGAACUGCCUUUGUGACUGCAAGGCUUGAGUGCGGCAGAGGGGGGAUGGAAUUCCGCGUGUAGCAGUGAAAUGCGUAGAUAUGCGGAGGAACACCGAUGGCGAAGGCAAUCCCCUGGGCCUGCACUGACGCUCAUGCACGAAAGCGUGGGGAGCAAACAGGAUUAGAUACCCUGGUAGUCCACGCCCUAAACGAUGUCAACUGGUUGUUGGGAAGGUUCCUUCUCAGUAACGUAGCUAACGCGUGAAGUUGACCGCCUGGGGAGUACGGCCGCAAGGUUG